rnacentral:lncRNA from 1 species
GCCUGUGGCCCCUGAGGCCAGCGGGCGGCUGAGGGGAAAGCUAAUGAGGGGGGAGCCAGGUGAUGAGGAGGGUUUUUAAGAGUUUUCCGAGGACGAAAGGCGGGAAUUGGGGUAGCCGUUGGGCACUUGCUCGCUUCAAAAGGCGGAGUUUUUCUUGAAGUGCUCCCAAGGAGAGGAAGAGUCAGCAGGAGUGACUUUCCAGGGGAGCGUGGACGCUGCUCUAGUCGGCUGCAGAACUCGCUGGGAGGAAGGCGAGGAAGCUGGGCGGGAGACGGGCGGCUGUCCUCUGGGCCCUGGAGGCCGCCCUGGCGGGAGAAGGAGCCUGCGGAAGGGCCAGACAGGCUCCUGUGCAGUGCGCUGACCCAGAGCUCAGGCUUCCUGUCUGCAUCCGACCCUGAGCGAUUCAGGGACGAACGUUUAAUUUCAGAAAGUUUAGGAAAGCCUCCUUCGUGGACCGUCUUCGUUGUAUUUGUGUCCCUUUUGUGCUUUUUCAGCCCAGCGCUUUCAGAGCACGUCCUUAGACCACCAUCUAUACUGGUGCAAGUUCUUAAGCCAAGGGGAGCCUGCGCCUGGUGUAGUGAGUCAUAGAAACUCUCCAAACGAGAGUGCUGACCUGCUAGGAUGUGGUGAGAGGACUUAAAUCGAGAUUUUCCUAAGUUACACAGGAAAAAAAAAAAAAGCACUUCCCUUGUCUGGAAGGGUCAUGCAUGGUAGAACUGGUAACCUUCCGCAGAAGGCAAGACCUUGAGUUCCCAGUUGGUUCUCAUCCUUGUUUGCCUUUCGGUCUAUGCGUGUGCACAUGCAUAAGCGAUGAUAUUCCUGU